rnacentral:rRNA from 1 species
AGAACGAACGCUGGCGGCACGCCUAAUACAUGCAAGUCGAACGAACACUUCGGUGUUAGUGGCGCACGGGUGCGUAACGCGUGGGAAUCUGCCCUUGGGUUCGGAAUAACAGUUGGAAACGACUGCUAAUACCGGAUGAUAUCGAAAGAUCAAAGAUUUAUCGCCCAGGGAUGAGCCCGCGUAGGAUUAGCUAGUUGGUGAGGUAAAGGCUCACCAAGGCGACGAUCCUUAGCUGGUCUGAGAGGAUGAUCAGCCACACUGGGACUGAGACACGGCCCAGACUCCUACGGGAGGCAGCAGUAGGGAAUAUUGGACAAUGGGCGCAAGCCUGAUCCAGCAAUGCCGCGUGAGUGAUGAAGGCCUUAGGGUUGUAAAGCUCUUUUACCCGAGAUGAUAAUGACAGUAUCGGAGAAUAAGCCCCGCUAACUCCGUGACCAGCAGCCGC